UAAAACAAAGCAUUGCGAUGGCCGCUGGUCGGUGUUGACGCAAUGUGAUUUCUGCUCAGUGCUCAGAAUGUCAUCGUGAAGAGAUUCAUCAAAGCGCGGGUAAACGGCGGGAGUAACUAUGACUCUCUUUGGGACGUAAGCCUGCGGGGUGUAAUGCCCUGCUCGAAGUCAACCUCCACGUGCUCGUCGUACGUCCUGCCAAUCGGGGAGCUCGCUCUCCCAAUUGCAACGAGGGCUCUGGGGACCUUUCGGGGAGAACUGGGUUGCCUGUCCGUCUCCCUUAAAUCCACUUUGCGCGAAAAAUGAAAAGAAACAAUGUAUAAGCGGUAGCCGAGAGGCUGCUGCUCCAAGUGCAGUUGGAAGGAGUGGUGGCCGGUCGGGGUGUACUGGUGCACCAGGGGGCACUCCAGAGGCCUCAGAAGUUCAUUCAUGCUCCUGCGGGAGAUCAUUCGAAACACAUCGGGGACUCAAAGUCCAUGCAUCAAGGAUGCAACAUGAGGUGGUUGGGGCACAGCCAGGUUCAUGAACGAGGCACUGGCUGCCAUACACAAGUCACGAACACAUAACUCAAUUAGAUCACAUAGAAAGGGCGCUGACUACCGGGCCCUGGUGGAAUCCUUUAUAGAAAAAGGGGCGACGACUCGGCCAUCGCUGCUGAGACGCCAUAGAGCAACAACCGAUACUGAAGUCCGGAUCACUGACGCGGGUGGUUUCCUGAGGGUUUGGGAGGGUGUGAUGGCUGGUCCAGCACCGCCCACAAUCUCCGAGCCCCUAGAUGUCCCAAGGAAGAAGGUGAAUCCGUUCUUCCUUAUUACCGCCCAGGACCUCAAGAACGCCCUUCCCCCAAAGAAUUCAGCCCCUGGUCUAGACGGCUACAAGCCGGCGCAGCUCCGAGCUGUCCCCAUGGUGGUUCUCAGAGUGCUAAUGAAUAUACUGCAACUUCAGGGUAAGGUGCCAGUAUGUCUGAGGGGGGCAAGGACGGUGUUCCUUCCGAAGAAGGAUCCUGCCGAGGAUCCACUGGACUUUAGGCCCAUUACUAUAUCCAGUGUGGUGCUGCGCCUCUUCCAUAAAAUUUUAGCACAUAGAAUAGUGGCU
rnacentral:ncRNA from 1 species